AACGCGAAGAACCUUACCCAGGUUUGAAAUAUAGAGGACGAUACCAGAGAUGGUAUUUCUCGUAAGAGUCUCUAUGUAGGUGCUGCAUGGCUGUCGUCAGCUCGUGCCGUGAGGUGUUGGGUUAAGUCCCGCAACGAGCGCAACCCUUAUCAUUAGUUGCCAACACGCGAGGUGGGAACUCUAAUGAGACUGCCUAGGUUAACUAGGAGGAAGGUGAGGAUGACGUCAAGUCCGCAUGGCCUUUAUGUCUGGGGCUACACACGUGCUACAAUGGUCGGUACAGAAGGCAGCAAAGCCGCAAGGUGGAGCAAAUCCGUAAAGCCGAUCC
rnacentral:rRNA from 1 species